AUAUGGGAGUAUCUUAGCAACUAUGGCCUGCAUAAAGUCAGCAUUUAAUACAAAUGCUGAGUGAAUGCUUCCUGACCUGGGCUCCAGGAUCUUCAUUCCAUGGUUCCUGUGUCAGCCCGUGACAAGGUCUGCGACCUGAUCUCCAUCACUAUCACCUAAGAAGGAAUUAUCUCUGAAUCUAAUGGAUUUUCUCUAAUUGUCUUGACAGACUCAUCACUUCCACAAGAAUCAAUGGUUUUCUCUAAAUUCCCCACUCUGUUGGCCAUACCCAGAGUUCUAUCAUGAAUAAGACCCUCCUAUACCUGAUCAAUAAAUGAUUUCUCUUGCAGUCA